rnacentral:lncRNA from 1 species
UUAAUUCGAUUAUAUAUAUGGGAGUAGAGCUACUAUAUGCUAUCGGAAAUAUAGAGGAACUGGUGCUUUCAAUUUUUUGGUCCUUAGAUCAAUCUUGUUUAUCAUUUUUAAUCUUUGGAUUAAUACUAUUAUCCUAUAGAGACCACUCAACAAUAGAAUUACCAUUCAACCUAAGGGAACCGCAAUCAUCCUAUUCAUUUAAUUCUUGAUCCAAAGGUCAAAAAGUCAGAAGCACCAAGUCUUCUAUACUUUCGAUAGUAUAGUAAUUCUACACAUAUAUGGUUCAUGUCCUUUUGGCUUUUGCCUUUUAGCUUCUAGUUCCAGAGUUGUUUUGUUACGGCAUGAAAUAAUUGCAGUUUAAACAGAACGGUAAUUAUUAGAUAAAAUAUAUAUAUAUAUAUAUACCGACCGUCCCUAAAGCAAAUGGCAAAGGGCUUGUUGGUUGGUACCCGAGACCCAAAUUCGAAUUCUAGUUGAUAGUUCUUAAAUAGCUAUAUAUAGAAGAUUUAUGAAUGGGUGUAAAAUAUAUACCUUUUUUGUGGUGUAUCAGUAGCAUUGCUCGUGGCGCAUAUUGUACAUACUAAAAAUAAGGAUAAACUUCAAAUACCAUCUAUGUGGUUUCGCAUUUUCUCACUUUACUAUCCUGUGGUUUAAAGUGCAUCAAGUUAGUACCCUGUGGUUUUAUUUUUUUCCUUUCGUCAACUCCUCCGUUAAUAUUUCGUUAAAUUAUAUACAAAAAAAACUUCAGAUACCCAACUAGGUUUAUCGAAUAUUCACUUUAAUACUCUUUAGUUUUAACUUUGUCACUGAUUUAAUAAAAAAACUUAAUAAAAUAAAAAAUAAAAAGAAAAAAAAAACCAUCUAUACUCUUAUAUGAAUCCUCAAUAUGAAAUGAUGACGUGGCAAGCUUUCAUUUUUUUUAAUUUACGUUUUAUCUCCACUUCUAAAUGCUCAACCCUUCACCUCUCCACAUUUAAUUAUAUUCAUCAUAUUCCACCAAUUAAUGAGCUUAAUUUGUAACUCCAAUCCACUCCCCUCCACCAUUAAUCCCUCACCAUCUCUUUUGCAUGAUAUGUUCUGAAUCCCCAAUAUGAAAUAAUGACUUGGCAAGCUCUCAUUUUUUUAAAUUUACGUUUCAUCUCCAUUUCUAAAUGCUCAACCCUUCACCUCCCCACAUUUAAUUACAUGCAUCAUAUUCUACCAAUUAGUGAGCUUAAUUUGUAACUCCAAUCCUCUCCUCUCCACCAUUAAUCCCCCCACCUCCUCUUUUUUGCAUAACAUGUUAUUUUCCAUGCAAAAAAGAAGAUUUUCAUGUAAUCGCUCACCUCACACUCUCUCUAUCUCAUUGUGUUAACAAAGAUUAUGAGGAUAAUGAAGAAGAAGAGCAUGCGAAGAACGUUGUCUCCUUCAAGAAAUAUUGUCCUGUAAAGUCCAGCCGUGGCUUAUAUAAGUGCUCGCGCAGACCGGUCUGCGCCGAAGCCCUCGCUCGCCGUGAACCGUCGCCACCUCGGCUGUCUCCUCGCGUGGCUCGCGCAUGCCCACACUGGGCCGAGGGGAGCGACGUCCUAGCCUCCUCUUCGCGGGGGCGUUGUGCGGGAGCUCGCUUCUCAAGAAUCGCAGGGACUUCUUGGUAAAUCAAAUUGUUUAAGUAUUAGAAUUUCUGUGGUUGAUGUGAUGGCAAGACUGUAUCGGUUUAGAUAUCGCAGUUUGGUGAUGCAGAUGAGAUGUUUGUUCAUAGGUUACAAUGAAAAUUCAGAAGUGACUCGACGCGGGAAGCAACUACCAGCUGAAAAUUAAGAAGAUGUAUAAGGUUUGGAUAAGUAAGAGAAGUGCUCCAAAAAAAUAUUAGUUUUUUUAAGAUUGAUGUUUUUUGUUUUAUUUUCAUCUUAUGACCAUUUUUUUUUAGUAAACACUGUUGUGGGCAAAAUUCUUUUCAUAGAUUAAAAAGUAUGAUGUGGAGACUGGAGCCUGAGACCCCACCCAAAAUUUUCUUAAGCCAAAAACGUUAAGUUAUUAUUUAUGUAUUUCAUAUGUUUCUAGCUAUGAUUUUAUUUUUUAACAAUUGAAUUUAGUUAUACAAAUUGAUUGUGCUUAACAUGGUAUAACUUCCUAUAAGCUGUAAAUAUAAAUUUUAUUAAAAUUUUAAAAAUUUAUUUUUAUUAUCUACCCGCUACAUCGCGCGGGUCUCUAUACUAGUAUAAUAUUAAAUUGAUACACUUUAAAUUACAUAGUACUAAAAUAAGAAGAC